rnacentral:lncRNA from 1 species
UAGCUUUCAGUAGUUCUCACUUGUCGGUAAGUUGUAAAGCAUGUCACUACAAUAGAUAUCAAAGCCUUCCCAUACGAACAAUUUUACACAUAUGUGAUCAUUCUUAAUUCAAGUACACCAGGCUGCCAUGUGUGAAAGCCGCUUUUACCUCUGCACAAUUUUUUGUUCCAGUGAAGGGGCGGUAUAAAAGCAUUUUUUACCCAAGAGAAAUUUCUUGUGACGUUGCUCUACAUUAAAAAUAGAACUACAGGACAUGGCAAUGAAAUGGGAUGUCUCCAACGAUGCAUUGGCCCUUAUUAAUGGUUAUGGCUAUUGCAUUCCUUACAGCUUCGGUCUAAUUUUUCAAGUUUUUAUAUUAAUUUUUUUUGAUGAUCCACGAUAUGAGAUUUUUAGACCAUGAAAUCCUUGAAUCACGACCUCUGCUUUAUUUUAAGCUUUGGGCUGUCGCUUGACGUUAGGAAAUAACCAGAUGUAAACGCAGUCCUUUUAGAUCAGAAAAGGCACAAAAGGAGAAGUGAAACUGUGAAACUCAAACGGCCGAAACUACGAGACCCACGACCUCAUUUUUGGUACGGAGUGUGUAGAGAUAAAUGCGUCUUUCUGAUAGGAAAAGAAGGCAAACGUCAAACACGACGUCGUUUUAGGUAGGAGCAAACGGAGAGCGGAGAGACAGGGUAAAAGUGGACCUGAGUUUGGUGGCUUUGUGAAACGGAGAAAUUUGAGCGGGUAAAGUCCCGACGGUGUCGUUUUACGCCGCAGAUGAGGAAGAGGAAAUGGACUUUUGAGCUCAUAAUACCAACCUCGAACAAUAAAUCGACCUUGCCAUCAGCUCGAUUAAGAGUUCCGAUUCGAAAAAGUAAAUUGAACUUGACUUGCCCAAAAAGACCGGUUUCUUAAGGCUUCAAAUCAAACUACUAGUCAUUUUCUUGACUUGGCCUGCGUACAUAUAUAGCGCUAAAAACUUUCUCCCCUAUCUGAUGUGGGACAUCACAAACAACCCUCCACACCGUGGCCUGUUUCCAAUUGUGUAGAUAUUGUCCGCUUUGGGUCCAAGUGGACCCUUAUGACUUUAAAAUGCAUCUACUUGAUUAAGAGGAGUCUCUACAUAUAUAGUGUCAGAAACUUUCUUCUCUAUCCGAUAUGGGACAUCACAUUUGUUGUCCUCUUACUCUUUUAGCCUGCCUUAUGGAGGCCUCUUGGGUUUCUACGGCAGAUUCGAUCAGUCUUGUGAUGAAGAUCAUGUGCCAUGGUGUUCUUAAUUUUUUAUUUAGUUUUGGCAUGGGUAAUUGAUAAUUAGAAUGUUCCUGAGGUGUAGGUCGCAUUUUGUCCAUAUAUAAAUAUGGAUUAUACUGUUAUACCGGAACAAAUAAGGAGAAAAAUAUAUCUUGGAAGGAGUUCCACCAUGAUGAUAUGUUUUGAUAAAGCUAUGACAGCUCCCUGAUAGUUGUAUGUGACAAUAUGGCAUGCAUCAAUUAACUCCUGAACCAGUGAAGAAAUGGAGGAAAUCAUGUGCUACUGAUAGUAUAGAUUUGUCUAAGAAGAUGGAGUCUGAGUUAAAGGAAUGGGAGGGGUGUGGAGAUCAUAUCAUCCAGGGUGAUUCUCAUGCAGAUGAGAGCAGAUACAUGGAAUAGUACUCAAGUAUAACUCAUAAAUGUAUAGGAAGACCAUCUCCUGUACCCCACCCAACAGCUCAAGAGUCACCAUAUUCUAUGCUGUACCCAACAACUCAACAAAAGUCAUCUUCUCUACCCAAGCCUACAAUUCAACAAACACCAUCUUCACUACCCAAUCCAGUGACUCAACAAAUUUCAUCUCCCUUAGCCCCCACCACACCUCAACAGAAGUCAUCUCCUGUAUCCAGCUCAACAACUCAACAAAUGCCACUUCCUCUAGCCAGGUCCACAAUGGGGCCGUCUCAUUUAUUGAGCUCUACUACUCAACAAAAACCAUCUUCUCCUCCCAGCUCAACAACCAAAGAAAAGUCUCCAUCCCCUCUAGCUACCCUCACAACUUAAUCAUGGCUAUCUCCUCUACCUGGCUCAACCACUCAACAAAGGUCAUCUCUUCCACCCAUGACAACAACUCAACAUAGCUUUAAUCCCAAUCACUCAGGGACAUUUAAAACAUCAUCCCUUCUCUUAACUGAAAAUGCUAGAAUGGUAAAUUUACCAUUCAUUCAUAAAUAUGUUUUUGGCAUAUGUAUAACUUAGUUUAAUUAAUCAGACUGAUACUAUGCAGUCUGCUGCAUUGUGGGAGAUAGCUCACAUUGUAAACUGAAGUCUUCGAUUCCCAGCAAUUAAAAUUACUUUUGAGAUCAAUGAAUUAUUCUAUAUGUGUGUUAAUAAUGAGGCCAAACUAGGUGUGCAAGUUAAGAGACAAUGAAGUAGAAGAGGUUAUCGAAACUGAGGAUUGGGAGCAGACUCUGCUAUCACACUUGCAUUAUCUGGCUACUGCUUGUGUGGAAUCUUCACAAAACCCCAAACCCACCUUAGAUGAGGACCCCUCUGUGAAUAUUGCAGCUUCAAUUGAAAGUUCUCCUCAACCUCUUGUUCAGAUUCCUCUUGUAUGGCCUCUCAAUGGCAUUUUAACCCAAAAUUAGACCUAAGAUGUCAUGUCUGCCUUGAGUGGUCAUCAUGGUAUCUCUCUCGCUCAGAAUUCCCCUCCAUCUUGCCCACAUGUGUGUUUGAUAGUCUCCUUGUAUCAGCGUCAAGGAUUCUGCUGAAGGAGCCAAAUUGUGAGAGAAUUGAUUGUUUUGAGGGGGACUUGGGUGUGGUUGUAAUUGUUGAUAUCCAUGGGCAACUGCACAAUCUCAAUUUUCUUUUCUAGGAUGCUGGUUUUCCUUCGCAAAAACUCAUCUUUGUUUUCAAUGGAGACUAUAUUGGUGUAGGAUGGGGUGUCGAGACACUUUUACUUCUGUUGGUGUGGAAGGCAAAAUUAGAAUAGUGAUAUUCAUUUUGAGGAGUGAACUUUGGUUUAAAGUGGAACUCCAUGUGACUUCCCAAAAGGAAUUUGUUCAAGUGCUUAACAGUAUGAUCUUGAUGUUAAUUUGAAAUGAAUAUUAAGAACUUGGUACUUUUUUAUCAUUAUUAUUGCUAGUAAAGAAAAUAAUACAUGAAUAGUCUUUGAAGGUAAUAUUUAGCUUUUCCUUUAUUUUUUUACAAAAUUUGUGUUUUGAAAUGCACUUUACAAAAUUAGUGUAGGUAAUAUAUUUUGAGUUUUGAUGCCAGGUUCUUAUGCCACAUAGGGUAUACCUGCUUAGCAGAAAUCAUGAAACCAAGCUGUGUGUCUGCGUGUUCGCUUGAAGAAGAGGUGAUGACAAAAUAUGGAGAUCAAGGGACACGCAUCUACUGUAGAUGCUCAGAAUAUUUCUCAAAACUUCCUUUAGCCUCAAUUAUAGCUGGGAGUGUUUAUACCAUACAUGGAGGGCUUUUCCGUAGAAUGCCUAUUGCUCCAAUAAGUCCUCCAAAAUGAAUAAUUUGGAGAAGUCCAACAUUAUGUGGAGACUCUGUCUAUAGGUUAUUUGGAAGAAUUAUCCAAAGCAAGGAGAUCAGUUCCAGAUCCUCAAAGUUUGGGAAUGAACUUAAUUUCUGAUGCAUUGUCAUCAGAUCCUUCAAUGGAGAAUGGCCUUAGACCAAACUUAGAGAGAGGAGUCUACUCUGGGGUCCUGAUUGCAAUGAGAACUUCUUAAAGAAGUCAAAUUUAAAGGUUACUUCAUAGACUUAAUUCUUGUUUCUGAACUCCUCAUAUGCCAAAUUAGCAUUUGUUUCUCCUUUCUGUAUGAGUUCUAGAAAUAACCAGUUCAAAAAGUUGCAAUACUAAUGUCAGGAUGAUGUCUUUUAUUAACAAGAAUAAAGAGAUUGGCUUCAAAUUGGAUACUUUUCUCAUUAACAGAAUGUAGUAUAUAUAUACACAUGUUUGAUCUAAUCUUCUCCUAAAUUAUAGCUACAGAAUCAGUAAUAUAAGGCUAAUUAUGCUCCUAUACAAUCAGCUAAUUAUGUCAAGAUAAUCAUACAAUAACUAACAUAUAAUUUCCUUAAUACUCCCCCUCAAGUUGGAGAGUGCAAAUCAAGAACUCCCAACUUGGUGCACAAAAAUUCGAACUGCUCCCUACCAAGUGCCUUUGUAAAAACGUCCGCCAACUGCAUCUUUGUAGAAACAUAACACGGACGAAUUACCCCAGCUUGAAGUUUUUCUCGAACUAUAUGACAAUCAAUCUCAAUGUGUUUAGUACGUUCGUGAAAAACUGGGUUAGCCGCAAUAUAUAAAGCUGCUUGAUUAUCACAAAACAAUGGUGCUGGUUUGUCCAAUUCAACCUUCAAAUCUUUAAGUAUGUACCUCAACCAAGUCAAUUCUAGGCAAGUAUUCGCCAUUGCUCUGUACUCUGCUUCUGCUGACGAACGUGAAACAUUCGUUUGUUUUUUUGAUUUCCAAGAGAUGAGUGAUGAUCCGAGGAAAACACAAUAACCAGAAACGGAACGUCUUGACAUACGACAUCCUCCCCAAUCUGAAUCGCAAAAUGCGCUGAGUGUUAAAUUAUUUUCAGAUGGAAGAAAAAGACCUUGACCUGGUGAUCCUUUAAUAUAUCGGAGGACCCGUAAUGCUGCUUCCUAGUGCGGCUUCCGAGGUGUGUUCAUGAAUUGACUUAGUGUACGUACUGAAUACACUAUGUCAGGCCUGGUUACAGUCAAGUAUAUUAAUCUGCCAACCAGUCUCCGAUACCUACUUGGAUCAUGAAGUAACUCGCCAUCUUCAUCAGUCAAUUUCAAGUUUUGCUCCAUCGAAAAUUUUUCGGGCUUCACUCCUGUCAAUCCUGUGUCUUGCAAAAUAUCUAAUGCAUAUUUUCUUUGAGACAUAAAGAUUCCCUUUUUAGAGCGAGAGAAUUCUAUACCCAAAAAAUAUUUCAAUUCACCGAGGUCUUUAAUAAAAAAACGCUUGAGCAAAUGAGUCUUGAGCAUCUUGAUUUCAUGCAAAUCAUUACCAGUCAACAGGAUAUCAUCAACAUAAAUGAGAAUAGCAGUGAACUUGUUACCUUGGGAUUUAGUAAAAAGUGAAUAAUCUGCUUUGGACUGUAUGUAACCCGCAGACUUAACAAUAGCUGUAAAAGUUGAGAACCAAUUGCGUGAUGCCUGUUUCAAACCGUAAAUAGAUUUGCGAAGCCGACAUACCAGAUUCUCCCCCUGUCGGCGAAGACCAGGAGGUGGAGUCAUAUAAACCUCUUCUUGUAAAUUGCCAUGAAGGAAUGCGUUGUGCACAUCAAGCUGAUGGAUGUACCAAUUUCUGGAAGCUGCGACAGUCAGCAAACAGCGAAGAGUGGUGAGUUUGGCAGUUGGAGAAAAGGUUUCCUGAUAGUCGAUACCGGCGACCUGUGUGUAGCCCUUGGCAACCAAACGGGCUUUAUAGCGUUCAAUGGUUCCAUCAGAAUGGUAUUUGAUCUUGUACACCCAGCGGCAGCCAAUGGGUUUGUGUCCCGGAGGAAGAGGGACCAUCUCCCAAGUGUUGUUUCGUUCUAGAGCCUGAAGUUCGGUGGACAUGGCUUGGCGCCAACGUGGAUCACAGUCAGCUUGUUCAAAGGAUGAAGGUUCGGUUUGGGCUGUCAAAAGAGCUAAAAAAGCACGGUGAUGGGGUGAAAAACGAAAAAAAGAAAGGUGAGAAGAGAGGGGAUACCGUGUACCUUGACGAGAACUUGAUUGCGUGGAAGAAUGAUUAAGCUGGGCAGACAUGGCAUAGUCGUGGUGCUAGGCAGGAGGCUGAAUAUGACGAGUGGAACGUCGAAGAGGGGGUUCAUGGNNNNNNNNNNNNNNNNNNNNNNNNNNNNNNNNNNNNNNNNNNNNNNNNNNNNNNNNNNNNNNNNNNNNNNNNNNNNNNNNNNNNNNNNNNNNNNNNNNNNUAUUAUAAUAAUAUAAUAAUUAUGUUUAAAAUAUUAUAGAUAAUAAAAUAAAAAGAUGGAAGAGUGCAAAAAUUGAAAUUAAAAAUUAAAAGCUAGAAUGCAAAACCAGGAAAAAUAAAAAAAGAAGAAUAAUGUGGCAUGGAUUCCAUGUGUAAAGCUUAUGUUAGAAAAAAUCAUUAUGAUGUUUUUGACUUGUUAUGUCAGAAAAAACAAAAUGAGGAAAGUACGAUGGUUGAGACUUUUUUUUUUUUUUCAAAAAUUACUGUCGAAGUGUACGAAAGUUAUUAAAAAACCUUUUUUUUUUCUUUUUUUUUUUUUUAGUUGUACCUUUGAUCCAAGGAUAUAACUUGUAUCUAAGCCUACCUUUCCUUUCACUCCUUCGAAGACACUACCAUGGAAGUGUCUUCACUUCACUCAUAUCUCUCUCUUCUCUUCGUCUUUCUCUUGCUUGUUAUCGGAAUUUUGUUCCCAAGAAGAAGAUAUGGGAAUCUCCCACGGAGCCCGCCUGCAGUUCCAAUUAUAGGUCAUCUCCACCUCCUCAAACAACCGGUCCAUCGAUAUCUACAACGCCUUUCACUAAAGUACGGUCCAAUCUUCUCCCUCCGAUUCGGAUCCCAGCUCGUGGUCAUCGUUUCCUCUCCCUCCGCCGUCGAAGAAUGCUUCACCAAGAACGACGUCGUCUUGGCCAACCGCCCUCGCUUAGCGUCCGGUAAGUACCUGGGGUUCAACUACACCUCCAUGGCCUCAGCAUCAUACGGCGAACACUGGCGCAACCUCCGCCGCCUCAGCGCCUGGAAAUCUUCUCUUCGAAUCGCUCAACAUGUUUUCUAGGCAUCCGCAGGGANNNNNNNNNNNNNNNNNNNNNNNNNNNNNNNNNNNNNNNNNNNNNNNNNNNNNNNNNNNNNNNNNNNNNNNNNNNNNNNNNNNNNNNNNNNNNNNNNNNNUAAUUGCGCACUAACCUCUCUCUGAUGGCGCAUGGUGGCUCGUCGCCCAGGUACGCACUACUUUCACUCUGGUAAUUGUCCAAGCAUAUUUUGAUUCUCACGUGUGCAUGAUUUAUUCUGGGUACUCAUUGAUCUACUCGUCCACUGCCAUGAUUGCUUCAUUUUAUUAGUAGAGACCCGCCUCUAGGGGCUUAGAGGGGUGCUACGGUCUUUACCGUACCUUCCCGAUGAGUAACCUGACCCCCGAACCCGAUCCGGUUUUUCACAGACCACCUUUUCCAAAACAAGGAGUCACCCUUAGGGUUUUUCUUUCUUAUUUUGUUUACCCUUUAAAAAUAAAACAAAAAUAAGUGGCGACUCCAAAUCAAUUUUUCUUAAUCAAUAAAGAUCAAUUUUUCAAAUUAAAAUCGAGCUCGCCGUCGAGUGGGAAACGCAUUGAGCCGAAAUGCGGGGUCCACACAUAUGCACUUAAUGUAAAUACCUUGUACAGUGACUCAAAUUCCAUAUAUCUCCUACUCAAUGUGUAAUCAUAGGUAGGUUAACCAUGUUUUCAUUGGUUUGUUUAAAAAAAUAACAGAAAAUGGAAAAAGAAAAUUUCUAUUAGACAAAAAAUAAAUAAAGAAAAUAAAAUUAAAAAGAGUAAUAAAUAUAUAUAAUUUAGUUAUUUAAUUAUUUUUCAUGUAAAAGAUAAUCCCACAAAAAACACAUAAUUGAUGAAUUUCUUUGUUUAAUUGUAAACAUACUAUAUUUUUUUUAUUUUUUUUAUUAAAAUAACUAAUGAAAAAAAAUAAAAAUGGAUAAUCAAUAAAUGAAAUUUAAUUCUUUUCAUUAUUUUCAUAUAAAAAAUAGUACUAAACAAGGUUUUCAAUUUUUUUUAAAAAAAAUAGUUUUCAUUUUUUAAUUAGAUGUUUUUUCAAAAAGAAAAUAUAAAAAAUAUAAAUCAUAUUACCAUUUUUUUAGAAAGUAUUUUUUAAAAUAGUUUUUGAACAUAAUUUUUCUUUAUUUAUAAUUUAAAACAAAAAAUAAUGUUGAUUUUAAUUAUUUAUAAAUUAAAAAUUAAAAAAAAUUAAAAAUUCAAAUUGUUAAAAUAUAAUUAUUGUGAAUAGUGGUUCAAUAAAGACAAAAAAAAAAAACUUAUGUGAAAGGUCAUUGGGUAUUUUAGUCCAACAUUAUUUUAUAUCUUUAAAAGAUAAUAUAUAAAAAUUUGAAGGAUAUAUUGGUCUUUUAACAUCUUAUAUCAUUUUCAUCAAUUAUGAAAGUUAUAUAUACCAAAUGUUAAUUUUUGGGCCUAUCCGGGCUCAAAACACAAUUCUCCCAUUUUCUUAAUUAUUUUCAUAUCUAAAAAAAAUUAUUAUUAUUAAAUUUACUUUUAAACUAUGAGAUAAUAAAACUUGAAUUGAUAAUUCAACCAUGACAUACAAUACUAUUUUUCCGUAGUUGGGAUCAGUGGCGGAGCUAAUAAUUUAGUUUAGGGGGGCAAUUCUUGAAACAAAUAUGGGCUUUAACCCAAUACUCCAUAAUUAUCAUUGUUAGGAGGAGUAAUAACCAGCUCGGAUUUGAGUCAUACUAUUACAAGAAAUAUAGGUUUUUUGUUUUAAUAUUUUCCGAGGGGCAUGUACCCAUGGGCAGGUGGUUGAGACUAAUUUCAUUGUCCCAUGUAAUUUGUCUAUAGAUUUGCCAAAAUUUCGGGAGGGUGCCGACUUUUCUAGGCAUAAUGCGGCUCUCCACAAGUUUUUACCUUCCAUAGGAAAAAGUCCAUUGUAAGUGUUUCUUAUGCGAUUAAAAUUAAAUUAUAUUUAAAUCUCAUGAUACAUGUCUUAAAUUUAUUUUUAUUAUAAAGUUGAAUUUGGUGUACGUUUGUGCCCCAAAUAUCAAAUCCCAAUUAAUGCAAGUGUCAAUUAAUUGUAAAUAGACCAUUUUCAUAUAUCAAUAAUAGGAUCCGUAGGGAAAUUGCCUUUUCCGAGCCAGCAUAGGCGCGUGAUCCCAACCACCUUAACCUACCUCGAUCCAAACCCCACUCUCCUUCUCGUCCGUUCAUAUAAAGGAAAAUUAAUAUUUAAUUGUAGAUAAUUCCCCUAAAUUUCCGUGAUCCGAAUUUUUAAGGAAUCAUUAUCUUAAAACAAAUUAUUAUGUUCAUAAUCGCUAUUAUUGUUUUUGUUGCAUGAGUGACGUGUAACGCUAAAUUAUUAUUUUCUUUAAUAUAAGUUAUAAACAAGACAUAUAAACUUUAUAUUAUACUCACGUAGUCAAAUUAUAAUAGUCAAUCUAUCUAUCUACAAUAUUUAUCAAAAUUUUAAUUUAUUUUUUACUUUCUAAAUAUAAACUUAAUAAUUUAUACAAUAAAAAAUGUUUGAAAAUGGACAUCUUCCCAAUAGAGGUCAAAGUAAGUACAGAUGUAAAAUAUUUCUAAAUGAUUCUAAGUGUCUAAAAAUCUAUUAGAUUAAGAAGCAAGAAACAUGAUUAUGUAUGAUUAAAUACAUGCCAAGAGACUAAUCAGCUGGUUUCGAAAUGAGUCGUGUCAACUUUCUAUAGGACCAGCCAAGUUGGGGCGGACCGAAAGCGACACGUAACCAUUCAAAGAACGGACUUGAAUUACUUGCACAAGACUUGGAAGAUUUCAACUACCAUCCGAUAUUCUAAACUCAUAUUGUCAAUAAAGAACACCUAUGGGUUGUAUCUGACCAAAAAGUGCCAUGUGAACAAAUAGUCGUGGCACAAAUCAAAUGCUACACACUUAAUUUGAUGGACAUUCUAAUCAAAAUUGAAUACAAUGAUGGCUACGUAUGUGUCUCAAAGAUUUUGAGAUAAUAUAAUUUAGUUGAAUUAUUGGCAUUUGAACGACGUGGGUAGUACCGGAAUCUUCCUUUUUCCUUUUUUUUAGGAAAAAUGUUGGGUUUGGAAUCAAAUGAACAUCUUAAAAUUCAACGCGGUAGUUGAUCAAUAAAAUUUAUACCUUAGAGGAAAAGUUAUAUUUUAGAAAAUUCAUUGUUUUUGCAUCAAUUAUCUAAGACUAUGUUUGGCUUCCCAAAACAUUAGGGAAGGAAAAAAAAUACUAUUUUUUUUUACUUGGUUUUACGAUAAAAAAUAAAAAAGAAAAUCAAAUAUAAUUAAAAUUAUUAAGAAAUUUGUGUAUAUUUUUUAAAAUUAUCUAAUAUUUAUUUGAAAUAGUUAAAUAAGUGAAAUUUUUUUGAAAUAAUAUAUAAAAAUAAUUUAUUAAUUUUAAAUAUAUUUUUUAUUUUUAUUUUCAGCUUGUUCUAUAAAAUUUGGAGGAAAAUACGAGGGAAAUAAAAUAUGAAGAAAAAGUAGAAGGGAAAAAAAGUUAAAUAAAAAAAAAUAGAGUUAAAGUUGAUGAAUUAUUUUUAUUUGUUAUUUAAAAUUUAUUUUUAAUUUAUGAAUAAAUAUUAAAUAAUUUAAAAAUACAUAAGUUUCUAAUUAAUUUUAAUUAUAUUUAAUUAUCUUUGGAAUUUUUUAUAUGAAAACCAAAUAUAAGAAAAUCAAUUUCCUUAACAUUUUUUUUCUUUCCUACUUUUGGGAAUCAAACAUAAUUUUUCUCUAUUUUCUUUCUUUGGCCUUUUCCUUUAAACUUUCUAGAAACCAAACAUACCCUAAGGUUAAGUUUGGUUCAUAGAAAAAUCAAGGGAAAAUGCUAGAGAAAUAAAAUAAAAAUAAAAUUUUGAAGGAAAAUAAAAAUCGGAUUUAGAAUUAAUAAAUUGUUUUUAUAUGUUUUUUCAAAACCGUGUCACUCAUUUUCCUUCAUUAUACAAAUGUUAAAUAAUUCUAAUAUAAGUAACUAUUUAACUAAUUUUAAUUGUAUUUAAUUUUUUUUUCGUAUUAAUAUUUUCCGGGAAUCAAAGCCUAAAUCCAUGAUAAAAUAUGAAUUAUGUCAUAUAAAAAUACAGUUUGUAUAGAGGUGGAGACAAUUUCUGAUUAUAGUGGUGGACAUUUUUGUAUCUGAGGAUUCCUAUUCCAUCCUAUGAAUAAUUAAAACACUAUUUUAAGAGUUUGUCGCAUAUAAUUUAAAUUCUGCUGCAAAAGGUGUAACAUUACAUGUGCGGUUGAGGCACAACCAAACAAUUGCAUGUGAUGGGAAGGCUUUUUUUUUUUAAUUAUUAUUAUUAAUGGAGGAAGUAUAAAAAAUUUCCGAAAAUUAAAUUUUUAUUAAUGUGUUUAUAAGAAUAUUGGAAAAUAGAGUUGGAAUGAAACUGAUCAUCUUAAUAUCAUAUAUGGAGGGAUAAUAUUUAUUUUUAUUUUUUAAUUUUAAUAUUAUUUUUAACAUAACCCAAAAUAAUUUAGCAAUGCCUCAUCAUAUCAAAUAAUUCAGAAGUAUUUACCCAAAAAUUGACAUUGUUUUAAUUGUGUCUAAAAUUAAUUUGGGGAAAUGAAUCUCAACUUGUAUUUAAAUUGACUUAUGAGAAGUUAUAAAUUUCAUUUUUAAGUAAAUCAAUUUAAUAAAUUAAUUUAAGUUAUUAGAUAAAUUAAAUAUGUUUGGUAAAAUAUUUUAAUGGUAUGAUUUAAAAGUUAAAAACAAUUUUAAAUAAUAAGUAAAAAUAAUUAAUUUAUUUUUAAGUUAACAUAUUUAUUUUAUUUUUUUAUCUUUAUUUUUCAUAAUUAUCUAAACAAUCUCUUUUACUACUUUACAAUCUCAAUUGUUACUUAACUUCUUUAUCUUAGUUAUAAUUUAUGAUAAUAAAUAUAUUAAUUUGCUGAUUUAUAAUAAAUUUUAAUAUAAUUUUAUCAAACAACCUUAAUACUUAAAAUAAAAAUUAAGUAAUAAGUUUUAAGUUGUUUUAACUUAAAAUUAACUUAAGUUUUUAAGUAAAUUAUCAUAAAUGAUGCUUAAAUGUCUAUAUCUUUAUUUAUUUUUUCAAUUAUUUCAUAUCAAAGGAAGAUUUUAAUUAGAUAUUUGUAAUUUGCACACCAAUGUUAAAUAUUUCAAAUGUUCCAACAAAUGCAAUUUUCAUUGGAACAUAUAUUCAUGGAAAAAAUAAUAAAAAAUAAGAAGAAUCUGAUAACUUUAUUUGCAAAAUUAUUGUAAAAUUACAUCACAGUAGCACACUUGAGCAAUAUUUUUUCCUACAUAAUUUCAAAUUGCUAAUCUAAUUUUUACUUCUUAACACACAUAUUGAGUUUAGAAAAGAAAAAAAAAACUUAAUUUUAUAUACACAUAAUUUGGGAAUUUUUAUUUUUUUUAUAAUACAAUUUCCAAAAAAAAAGGAAAAAAGAAAAAAAAUGACAAAUAACUUAUUUUCAUUAUUAUUAUUUGUUUGCAAAUAGAUGUAUUUAUAAAUCUAUUUAAUGAUUUACAUUAUAUAAAUUUAUAUUAAUUAUUGCUUAAUUUGCACAAACCAUAACGAGAAUAAAAUUUAAUGAAAAUUAUAAGAAUGAACAUUUUAUAGUCAUUAAAAUUUGUAACCGUAUACCAAAUCAGAUUUCUAUUUCUAUAUUUAGAGGCAAAAUAUUAUUUUUUGUAAAAGUUCUUAAUAUAGAAGAAAAUUUAAUAUUGUAAAUGUCAUAUUUAUAAUGAAUUUGAUUUUUAUUUCUAAUUUUUUAUCUUUAGAUGCAAAAUUUGCGUAACAUGAAAGUAAAUUUAAUAUCAUAAAUUAGGGUGAUUUUUUGGUUAGUAAUUUAUUGAUACCAAUCAAAGCAUUAAUAAUAAAUUUAUCUUAAUUAUGUUGAUUAAUAUGGAAUUUUUCUAUUCAACAAAAAAUCAACACUCACCUUAAUAUAUCUAUUUUAUUUAUUUUUUAAAUUUAAAAUAGAUUUAAAAUUUUAAAACUAUGCUUUGCGUUUCCAAGAGGAAACAGGGGGCGGGUGGGGGAAAAGAGAGGUAGUGGUUUCACGUGCUGGCAAAGUGGACUGAUCACUGAAGGAGGGAGGAUCACGUGCCAUAAAAGCUUGAGACGAAUAUUCCAUUCUAGCGCGUUAAAUUCCAAUAUUUCUUUCUCCAGGCGCUCAACACAGCGCGUGGAUCACUCACCGUAACCCUUUACUUUUGGUUCUCAGCUUUUAUCGGGGUUUCCAACUUUACUUCUUCAGACUUCAGACAUAAGAAUGCAAUUUUCUCGGGAAAAUUCGUGAUUGAAAACUCCUAGCCGUCCCGACCGUUCCGCAACCACUUCUUAAACGCCUCUUAUCUUUCACUCCGCAAGAGUCUUCGCUUCUUUCCCUUCCUCUUUCGCCGGCCGAGCUCGGUCGGUAAGUGAUUUUCUCUCUCUCAUUCUUGGAUCUCUUUGUUUGUUCGGUUGCAUGGAGGGGUUUGUGGUGGGAUGGGUUGGCUGCUGAUAAAAUGAAAGAAAAAGAAGGAAGAAAAUGAUAUUUUGGAUCUUUUUCUUUUUCUUUUCCUUUUUUCCUCUUCAAUGUUGUUUUGGUUUCCGAGAGACGGAGUGAAGGCGCGGUAGCGUCUCUCUCUGGUUGAUGGGAAAUGGAAGAAAAGGGAAAGAAAAAUGAAAUUUUUAGUUUGUUUUUCUAUUUUUUGAUUUUGUGUUGGUUUAGUUUUGAAAGAACGAGUCUUAUCGCGGCUGGGCCAAAUUAUAUUUCUUUGCUUGGAUUCUGAGACACGGAGGAAAGGAAAAUUUUGAAUCGUGUGUCUAAUGUUGUUUUAGUUUCUAGGGGAUCUAGACCCGAAUUUGGACCUAAUAAAGAGUUAGAAAGUAAUUAUUGCAUUUCACUGGGUGGAUUCUAGAUUGAAUCCUCGUUAAUUUGUUAUAAUUUAUUUUGGGAUUAUGAUGAUUAAGUCUCGAAAAUUUUUCAUCUUGUCGGAACUUGUUCAUGGGAUUUUCUAAGCUUCUCUUAUUUGCAUUUUUAGAUUGGAAAAAUGUCCUUUCAAUGUAAGGAUUCAUAUGUGUUAUUUUAGAUUGCCCUUCUUUUUUUUUUUUACUAAUUAUUUCUGUGUGGUGGUUUUUGAAAUUUGGAUCGUACUGUAAGGUCAGGAUGGUUUUGAUGAUGUAUUGUAGUGAAGCCUAGGCGGUAGUCUAGUUGUGCGCUUCUCCUUCUUCUGUAAAUGGGCUGCUUUCAGUCAACAGCAAGAAAGCAGUUUCCUGGACAUGAGGACCCAGUAAUUCUUGCUUCCCAAACAGCUUGUAAGUUGUUUACUAUUUCAUUAGAAGGUUAAUGUUGACACAGCUUUUUCUUAGUCUCUGGUCUCUGCUUUGUAAUGAUGCAUGCUGUGUGAUUGUGAAUUUAGCUUCUAUCCUUCCAAUCGGUUAAUGUUAGUUUACUAUUUGGUUUGGAGCUUGUUAUGAUCGUGCCAGAAUUUUAGGCCCACGACUUGGUUACAAAUAUUUGAUAAUCUUGGGUUUUGUGGAACACAAUAUUGGCAAGUAGAUGCUUGCGGGGGAAAAAUUGUAGAUAUGGCCAUGAUGAAUUUACAUCUUCCUCGGUCUGAUCUUUCUUAGAACCAUACUCUUUAAUCCCUGGAAAAUACUUCUGUAUGGAACACUGAGUUGAAACCCAUAAAUUUAAUUGUUCUAAUGUACCUAUUUUUAGCUUUUAUCCUUCCAAUCAGUUAUUGUUAGUUUACUCUUUGGUUUGGAGCUUGUUAUGUUUGUGCCAGAAUUUUAAGCCCAUGAGCUGGUUACAAAUGUUUAAUAAUCUUGGGUUUCGUGGAACCUAAUAAUGGCAUGGGUAGUUGCUUGUUGUGGAAAAAUAAUAGAUAUGGCCAUGAUGAAUUUAAACCUAGCUCAGUCUGAUCUUUCUUAGGACCAUACACUUAAAUCCCUUGAAAAAUACUUCUGUAUGAAACACUGAGUUAAAACCCAUAAAUUUAAUUGUUCUAAUUUACCUGUUUUAUGUGUCAUGGGGAAUACACUUUCAUUCUUUAUUGGUAUAAUUAAAUUUGGAUAAUCUAUUUGCUAGUUCCACUUAGAUAAAAAAAACAUGUAUGCUUGUAUAUGCAUUUGAACAAACACUCAUAAGAUAAUUCAUGCAUUCUAUUGUUUUAUGGUUAAUCUUUGAGGCUUGUAAGUAGAUCUGAACUGUUCUUCUUUUUUACAAUAUGGAAUGAACUGAAGGUCAUGCUAUUUUUUCUAUGGUGCAUUCUAACAGCAUUAUAUCUUUUUGUUUAUUUUGAUGUCGAUUGAUAGUGAGCCAACUGUCUUGCCAUUUCUUGAUUCUUCAGUUAGUGUGAGUGAAGUUGAAGCACUAUUUGAGCUAUUCAAGAGCAUUAGUAGUUCUGUAAUUGAUGAUGGGUUAAUAAACAAGGUAAUCUGCAAUGGUAUUAAUUUUUGCUUUUUCUUUGUCCUCAUUUCUUUUCUGUUUUGUUUCCUUUGUUUUUUUCUCUACUAUGAAAUUAUAUUUUUGGUUGAUCUUUAGAAGGCCCUAAUUUUUUUUUUCUUUAAAUUUAUCAAUAAAUACAGGAGUCCAUUGGAAUGGGAUUGCUAUUUUCAACUUGGUAUCAUCUGUGAUUUCACAGGGUUGUGCUUGUAUAUAACUUAAUACAGGGAUCCAUUGAAAAUGGUUUCAAAUUUUGACAAGAUAUUAUUUAUAAUUUUAAAGUCUUGCACUUUUAUAUCUCUUUCUCUCUCUCUCACACACAUACAUGACACUAAUAGGGAGAGAGAGAGAGGAGACAGAGAUUGGUCAUUGGUUGCGUAGCAUGAUGGUAUAGUGCAGCCUUCAUUAUAUUGUUUUCUAAUUACAACACUGCUGUUUCUUAACUUUACCUCCUGCUGAAUCAUAGCAACACUUCAAUAUCUUCAUUUCCAAGAUUGACAAAAUUUGUGUUUAUUUGUAGGUGCAUUUCUAUUUGCUUUUGUUCUAUUCUGUAGUUGUUUCUAUAGUAUUUAUGAAAAAGAAAGAUGUCCUUUUGUAGAUCUUUGCUCAAACGGAGCAUUCAAUGUUCCUCUUGUGUAUGCAGGAAGAGUUUCAAUUGGCUCUAUUCAAGAACAGAAAGAAGGAGAAUCUCUUUGCAAAUAGGGUAAUAUGUAUUGUUCUUUAUUUAUUCAUUUAAAUAUUUUCUAGAACAAGGUCUAAAUUAUGCUUACAAUAUGAUAUUGGUUCAAAACCAGUGAUGUGGGUUAUCUUUGGAGCUUACACUUGUUUAAGAUGUGGAAUAGAUUUUGUAGAAUGCCUAAGCUUAAAGUAAGGAGAGAGUUUUUAUUUUUUUUUUGUCCUUCUCACCUACUCUGGGCGUUUAUGAUAUACCUCAUGAUAUUGUGUGUGCUUUUUAUAUAUUUUCUCAUUUUCCUAUCAAAGGAAAAAAGGGAUGUGGGAUAAUGUUUGAAUGAUAUUUGCUGGUGUUUUUUUUCCUGUAUUUAAUCUUCUGGUCAAUGUUUUUUAUUGUAUUGCAUUAAAAACCAGCCUAUCAACCGGUUUUGGCAGAUGUUUUUUAUUUUACUUGUGGCUAGAAUAUGCACAUCAAAGAUUUUUUAUGCUUCUUUCCACAGCCUUUCACUUCAUGAGGUCAAUCGCAAAGUCUAGUUACUAAGUCAAAAAGAGUGAGAUUUCCUUAAUGGAUUCCUUUUUGAUUGACAUGGAUAUUCUAAUCCCUCGGAUAUGUGAUGAAGAUGUCUUGGUUUAGGUUUUUGAUGAAUGCCCAUGACUUGCGCAGUCCUAAGUCUAUCUCUAUGUAGGAUAUAAGGCUGUGAUUGAUUAAGAGUAGGACUUGGGCAGUUGUUUAACUAGGCUUCCGAGCUGAAGAUUUGCUUGACAAAGAGGAACUUUGAUCAAAACUUGCCAAAUUGGUUUCCAAAUUUCUGCAAUGGAGGGCUUAAAGAUCAAAUUCGAUAGAUCUGUUGAGAAAGGUUGAUUGUGUCUAAAGAUCAAAAAUACCAAAAAUCACCAAAAGAAGGAAUUCAAAAAUGUAAUAUGAAAAUACCUAGUGCUGGACUGUUUUGUUCUUUCAUUUUAAAUAAAGAAAUUAUUUGUAUCUGGAUGGAUCUCUUUAAUCCAUUAGGGGUGGUGAAGUGAGCUGUGAAUUUUAUUGCUGGAAUCAAUCCCUCACUUGGUCAGUACUGGAAGAAUUCCAGCCAAAUGGGCCCAUUAGGUGGGAAGGGGGGAGUUGAUUUCAAAGAAUUUUUUAAUGUGAUUAGUUAAACCUCUAAGAAACUUGAACUAUAUGCACUGCAAGCAUUAUUCUUUUCACCAUUUAAAUACUUCUAUUUGUUUUGAAAUUGGAAUAAUUUUUUAAUCAGAAAUUGGGAUCAUUAAACUUGCAGAUCUUUGAUCUUUUUGAUGUUAAGCGGAAGGGAGUCAUUGAUUUUGGUGACUUUGUCAGGUCACUAAAUGUUUUCCAUCCAAAUGCCCCACAAGAAGACAAAAUUGAUUGUAAGUUUACUUGACAUUUUAGGAUUGCUUUGAAUUGCAUGAACUGGAGUACUGUUAUGUGCAAUUGUUCUCAGUAUAUUUUAAUACAUCUUGUAUUUGACAUUAUAUUGCAGUUUCAUUCAAGCUCUAUGAUUUGGAUAGCACAGGAUUCAUUGAGCGGCAAGAGGUACCUUGAUGCUUUAUUUGUCAUGUCUAUUAUAUAUUUUUUCAAUUGGUCAAGAGAGAAAAUGUUAGAUGCUUAUGUUUUUUGGUUUUUGCCUCUUUUAUUGCCAAUUAUUUAUACAUCAUACAUACUUAUGCUUCAAAGGUCCCAAAGACAAAACUAUUUUCCUCAUUAGAAAUAGUAAAAUGCUUACAUGUUUUCUGUUUCUAAUCUAUCUUUGUCCUGUUUAUUACGUGUUCAUUUACCUGAGCCCAAGCUCACGGACGUGAUCAUCUGAAGAGAAAAUUACAAGACUUUUCUCUUGAUUGUUGUGUUGAUUCAAUUAUGUUUUAUUGAAACCUCUAUGUAGGCAUCUUCAUUCUAUUUGAUUUUGGCAGGUCAAACAAAUGUUAAUUGCACUUCUGUGCGAAUCUGAAAUGAAGUUGGCUGAUGAAACCAUCGAGAUAAUACUUGAUAAGGUGACUUGUUGAACUGAGCUAUAAGCAACCACAUAAUUCUCUUAGAGAAUUCAUUGAACAUGCUACAUUACCACGUCACAUGUUUUGUCCAGUCAAUAUAAACCAUUUAUAACCUAGAUAUAUCUGCCUAUUUGAGCAUUCAAGAUUGACAUCUGCCCAACUGGGUCAUCACAAAAAGGUCAAAUCCAUGAGGAUGAUGGUUGGAAAUUUAGGGGCUGUGUGAGAAGCUGGAUUCCAGUUGAACUGUAUAUGCUAUUGUCCCAUUGACGGGGAAUAAAGCAUAUGAAUAAAUCCUGUUGGUUGUCUCCUUUUUCAGGAAAGGAAAAUUUAACCUACCAUCACUUUCCAUGCUAACAGGACGCAAAAAGUGGCAGUUGAUCUAGGAAGUUGGCCUGAAUUUUUGGUUUCCUGAACAGUUCCUUUGGCCAUUUUAUUAGACAGGAAAUAUUCCUGGCGUUUCCAUUGGUUGGAGUGGGCAAAUUAACUUAUAUUUGUAGUACACACUCUAGGUCCUCAAUAGUGAUUUUCAUGAAUUGCAUUCCGAAAUAUCUCUCUCCUCAUAACUUUCAUGUCUUUCCUGUUGGUACUGGGUUUCUUUUUGCCUUUCUUUUCUUUUCUGCUAUUUGGUUGCUGAGAUUUUAGAAUUUGUCAACAGACGUUCUUGGAAGCUGACGUAAAUCAGGAUGGGAGGAUUGAUAAAUCUGAGUGGCAGAAUUUUGUUUCUCGGAACCCAUCAUUGUUGAAGAUAAUGACACUACCAUAUCUAAGGUGGGUAAUCACAAUGUUCUGGUCUCAAGCAUCAACAAUCAUCACAAUGAAGCUUUUUUUGACAGUUGAGUAAUUAAUAUGUUUGGGUGCAAAAAUGCAGGGACAUAACGACAACCUUUCCGAGCUUUGUGUUUAAUUCAGAGGUGGAUGAGAUUGCUACAUAAAGUAAAAAAGAGUGGCUGCUAGGUUUGGAAGACAUUUGCAGUUUGAUCCUUUGAAACCCAACUGUUUUACAUGAAAGAAAGAGUAGAUGAGUUUUGAUUUUGUUUGUUUAAGAGAAAUGCCAUCUACGUGUAUUUGCAAAAGGUUGUGGGUGGCUAUAAUUAGCUUUCAGUAGUUCUCACUUGUCGGUAAGUUGUAAAGCAUGUCACUACAAUAGAUAUCAAAGCCUUCCCAUACGAACAAUUUUACACAUAUGUGAUCAUUCUUAAUUCAAGUACAUCAGGCUGCCAUGUGUGAAAGCCGCUUUUACCUCUGCACAAUUCUUUGUUCCAGUGAAGGGGCGGUAUAAAAGCAUUUUUUACCCCAGAGAAAUUUCUUGUGACGUUGCUCUACAUUAAAAAUAGAACUACAGGACAUGGCAAUGAAAUGGGAUGUCUCCAACGAUGCAUUGGCCCUUAUUAAUGGUUAUGGCUAUUGCAUUCCUUACAGCUUCGGUCUAAUUUUUCAAGUUUUUAUAUUAAUUUUUUUUGAUGAUCCACGAUAUGAGAUUUUUAGACCAUGAAAUCCUUGAAUCACGACGACCUCUGCUUUAUUUUAAGCUUUGGGUUGUCGCUUGACGUUAGGAAAUAACCGGAUGUAAACGCAGUCCUUUUAGAUCAGAAAAGGCACAAAAGGAGAAGUGAAACUGUGAAACUCAAACGGCCGAAACUACGAGACCCACGACCUCAUUUUUUGUAGCGGAGUGUGUAGAGAUAAAUGCGUCUUUCUGAUAGGAAAAGAAGGCAAACGUCAAACACGACGUCGUUUUAGGUAGGAGCAAAAGGAGAGCGGAGAGACGGUAAAAGUGGACCUGAGUUUGGUGGCUUUGUGAAACGGAGAAAUUUGAGCGGGGAAAGUCCCGACGGUGUCGUUUUACGCCACAGCUGAGGAAGAGGAAAUGGACUUUUGAGCUCAUCUGGUCAGGUGCUAGGCUCUGAUCUACUACCAACCUUGAACAAUAAAUCGAACUCG